rnacentral:rRNA from 1 species
GGUUUUUUGAUUGUUAAUAUAAAAUUGAGCCUGCCCAUUGAUUUUAAUUAUUAAAAGGCUGCGGUAUUUUAACUGUACUAAGGUAGCAUAAUCAUUUGUCUUUUAAUUGGAGGCUAGUAUGAAUGGUUUGAUGAAAAAUUAACUUUCUUUAUAUAAUUUAAUUUAAUUUAAUUUUUUAGUUAAAAAGCUAAAAUUUUUUUAUAGGACGAGAAGACCCUAUAGAAAUUAAUUUUUUUUAAGAAUUUUUAUUUUUGGUUUUUGUAAUAAAUUUUUUGAAUGAGGAAUUUUGUUGGGGUGAUGAUAAAAUAUAAUAAACUUUUAUUUUUUUUUUCAUUUAUUUAUGUUAUUUUGAUCCAUAUUUUAUGAUUAUAAGUUUAAUUUACCUUAGGGAUAACAGCGUAAUUUUUUCGGAGAGUUCUUAUUGAUGAGAAAGUUUGCGA